AUAGCAUGGUGGGGACAUUUUCUAAUGAGGUCCUUUAACAUUUUUCAUAUUUCAUGGAACAUUUCUCCAUCUAAUUGAAAAAAACUAGUUAUUGCUUUUUUUAUUUU